UCUAGAAUUCCAGUUAGAGAACGAACCUAUAACUUUUUUUUUUAAUAAUUCUAUGAUAUUUAUCAUAAAACAUCGCGCAAAUUAAAUUUCUGCCUGAUGUGUUUAAUUUUUUAAAACGUUUAUAUUUUUUUGAAAGAAUAUCUGUAAAAUUUGAUGACGAAAUAAAACGGAACUAUAUGCCAUCGCGGAUUAUUACUUAAAUCCUAUACUGCAAUGGUCUUUUCUUAACUUGCAAAGGGGUAUAAUACUCAUGAUUUUUGCUUGUGAAUAAAUGGUGUACAAAACAUAAUUUUCCGAAAUACAGAUAUGAUUCAAUAACAGGUACGAAAUACCUGUUCCAGAAAAUAUUUGCCAUCUCUAGACUGUAGUAAUGUGCUGACCUGAAUUCACUGACCCGUCUGAGGUUAUAGAGCCUGUGUGUAAAGCUUGUUUGAAAUUUAAAAUAUGCUUUUUGAUGAUGGCCCAUGGAAUUUCAAAAAAAGUGAACCUUUGUAUCUGAAUCUCCAAUUGAGGGGAAAAUUUAUGUGCAUAUCUUUUCCAAAGGCUGAGUCUAAGCAUUUAAGUGAAGACACCAAGACAAUUAUAGCUCAUAGAUAUGAGUAACUUAUUACAAAAUGCUUGCAUAUAUUACUGCAGCAGAUUCGAUCGAAACUGGUAAAAUUGUUUCGGCCCAUUAUUGUUUGCGCUUUUUAUAAUUAUAAGCAUAUAAUACUUGAAAUAUUAUGAAAUGUGUGUAUUUUGUAACUUGAAAUACAUAAAAUUGUUUUUUUCAGUUUCUAAUUUAACUAUGUUGGAAAGAGUUACAUUUAUGUAUGUUGCACGAUUUUAAAUUUUCUCGAGCAACAAUAUUUUUACUAUUGUCUUAAAUUCAUUUGAGGCAAUUUAAACGUCCCUUUUUAUUUUUUUUAUUUCUAAUAACCUUUUGACAAAAGAAAAAGAAUGCAUUUUUUAAAUCACAACUUAAGACUAUGUAUGCUUUUGCAUUAAAUAAUAUGUUGAUUUAAUUUUUUAUUUUGUGUAAUAACUUUCAUGAAGUUAUUCAUGUUUCAAAUACUUAUCCAUGUAUAUCUUUAAAGUAUGUAAGUGAUUAUUUAAUUAAACUACUGAUAAGUGCUUUUUGUUAA